UCCUACGGGAGGCAGCAGUGGGGAAUAUUGCACAAUGGGCGCAAGCCUGAUGCAGCAACGCCGCGUGAGGGACGAAGGCCUUCGGGUUGUAAACCUCUUUUAGUAGGGAAGAAGCGACUGGGUUUUCCUGGGAGUGACGGUACCUGCAGAAAAAGCACCGGCUAACUACGUGCCAGCAGCCGCGGUAAUACGUAGGGUGCAAGCGUUGUCCGGAAUUAUUGGGCGUAAAGAGCUCGUAGGCGGUUUGUCGCGUCUGCUGUGAAAACCCGAGGCUCAACCUCGGGCCUGCAGUGGGUACGGGCAGACUAGAGUGCGGUAGGGGAGAUUGGAAUUCCUGGUGUAGCGGUGGAAUGCGCAGAUAUCAGGAGGAACACCAAUGGCGAAGGCAGAUCUCUGGGCCGUAACUGACGCUGAGGGGCGAAAGCAUGGGGAGCGAACAGGAUUAGAUACCCUGGUAGUCCAUGCCGUAAACGUUGGGAACUAGAUGUGGGGACCAUUCCACGGUCUCCGUGUCGCAGCUAACGCAUUAAGUUCCCCGCCUGGGGAGUACGGCCGCAAGGCUAAAACUCAAGGGAAUUGACGGGGGCCCGCGCAAGCGGCGGAGCAUGCGGAUUAAUUCGAUGCAACGCGAAGAACCUUACCAAGGCUUGACAUAUACCGGAAACGGCUGGAAACAGUCGCCCCGCAAGGUCGGUAUACAGGUGGUGCAUGGUUGUCGUCAGCUCGUGUCGUGAGAUGUUGGGUUAAGUCCCGCAACGAGCGCAACCCUCGUCCUAUGUUGCCAGCACGUAAUGGUGGGAACUCAUGGGAUACUGCCGGGGUCAACUCGGAGGAAGGUGGGGAUAACGUCAAAUCAUCAUGCCCCUUAUGUCUUGGGCUUCACGCAUGCUACAAUGGCCGGUACAAAGGGCUGCGAUACCGCAAGGUGGAGCGAAUCCCAAAAAGCCGGUCUCAGUUCGGAUUGAGGUCUGCAACUCGACCUCAUGAAGUCGGAGUCGCUAGUAAUCGCAGAUCAGCAACGCUGCGGUGAAUACGUUGCCGGGCCUUGUACACACCGCC
rnacentral:rRNA from 1 species